UGUUCCCUCAAUAAUCCACAUCAGCUUUCUCCAAAUUAUGCUCUUCUUCCACUAUAAUUCGACAGUUACAUCCUUUGUUAUUCAAUUUCCACUCUCUUCAUAACUGCCCUUAAAUCCAUUCUCUUCCAAAUUCCAAAACCGUUCCGAAAAAUUGUUAGUGCAGCCCCAUUCUUCUUCUUCUUUCACGAUCCAUUUUCACCAAAUUACUUUUCAAUUUCUCUUUACAAAUUCUUAGUAUCAAAACAACAUAUUCAAACUUUAAUUACAGAAACGACAAAACUUACCACAAAUGGAGAGCUGUAUGCGCGAAUCGGAGGGAUUCCGAUUGAAGAUUUUCGUUGGGCUGUAUGUACGUGACGUCAGUUUUGGGUGGAUCGCGGCCGUAGCCGCUGAUGAUGGUGGUGGUCUAUGUGGGUUAUCACUGUUUGAAGCGGCGUGUUGUGGAGGUUACGCCCGGUGUUUCAGUAGAACUCAUUGUAUAUAUGAUAAUUUUUUAUAUUUUCUUUAUUCUCUUUAGUCCAUUAUAUUUGUAUUUUUGAUUUGGUAUGUAUUGACUCUUCCACUUCAACGGGCUAUCCUACCUCUUGUAUUAAUUUUUACAAAUAAGCAUCUGAUACUAAUUCCUUCCCAUACAUGAUCAAUUGUCAGGUUUUGCAGUUGCUGAGUGACCCAAAUCUUGCUGUUAGGGAAACUGCUAUUUUGUGCAUUGCGGUAAGGGUCCCCAAGUUGAAUCAAUCAGAGUUGGAGACAACAUGUGAAGAUUUCAGCAAUAUCAUUAAUAAUUUUGAGAAGUGCACCGUAUGUAAAGGAACAAUGUCCAAUGGAGUCAAGAUUUCUAUUGAUUAUACUAUUGUUACUUCUACCGAGAAUUGGUCAAAGAACAUGGAGAUAGCCUGCAGAAGAAAGAUUUUCUUCCUUAUAUCAAUGGAAAUGGAAACACUAAGAGUUUCAAUUCAAUUGAUAGAUAGACUUUCAUGUUUCAAACUUAAUUGUUUAGCUAACUUAUUUCCUUACAUACAUGCUUUCAGAUUGUUGCUCUAUCCUGUGUUAGCCAUAAGAACUUUGCCAAUCUUAUUCGUUAUUAUGAAGAAGAUGGACCAUUCACAAGGACGGUGGUGUUUGAGUAUACUCCGAACGAAAGCUUAUAUGAGCAUCUACUUGCAACCGGAAAACUCGGGAAAGCAUUUCGAGUAAACCUUUCAGCAGGAGCUGGUAUUUCUGUGGACUGUGGAUAUUUAGUAGAUCCUUGUAUUCUUGUGCAGACCAUAUUCUUACACUGGAUGGCAGUAUAUUGCAGAAGGACUUAGCAAAUAUGUUUGUCUUCUCAUCCUAAUUGCUUGCACUUGAUGAACGCUUUUGGUUUGUGCAAUUAGCUCCAAUUACUAUCAUAUUCUCUGAUAGUCUCGAGUAUGCAUUAAAACAAAUGCUCAUUCAUGAGUUUGAAGUGGUUCCUUUUUCCAUCAAGUUAAAAAGAAAAUAAAUUUUGACAAGAGAUAUGAAAUGAUGCAAGCUUGGCUUAGACUGCAUCUCUACUAUUUUGAUUGUGUUCUACUUUGAUUCAAUUCAGGGUACAACUUUGUAUUAGCAGGAUUGCUUGCUUCCCUUAAGUUAAUCGGAGGAACCUUAGCUGAUCACACAUUCUCCGUAAGUGAAAUUCUUACUUCUAUAUUUUGGUUAUUGAAGGCUGGAACUGGUAUAGCAGAGUUGAUAGCUUUUGAGAUUUCUAAGCAGGUAUAACUUGGUUUUAAUACUUAAUUGUUUAUUUCUAAACGUAUUCUUUUAUCUCAAGUAGUUAAAUUAAAUUCUAUCAUUUUGGCCACACAAAAGCCCCGGUCGAAGAGACUUGCAAGAAGAUUUGGAUUGUGGACUCCAAGCUUUUGUUAUCCCCUUUCUCCGUUAAGGCUUUUGUGCUGAAUCCGGUUUAGUAAGCAACUCGGUUCGGUUUGUUUUGAAUUCAUGCGUAGCUACUGGGCUUAUUCUUGGUUCUGCACUGCUGUCUAAUUGUUGCAGGUGCAGAGCAUUUGGUUUUCUCAUUGUGUCGAGUGCAAGGUUGAUUCGGUUUCGCUUUGGUUUGAUGCUUUCAAUUUUCUUAUGUACUUUAAUUGCCAGUUCUGUUCCAUCAUUUGUAUAGCAGGCUCCAAGGAACGGCUGCAGUAAACUAUAGAAUGUUGUUGUAAUGGGUAGAAAAUCAUGGGAGGCUCUCCCUCUUGAGAGCAGGCUUCUCAGUGGACGACUUAAUGUUGUUCUGACUUGCUCAGGUAGUUUUGAUAUAGCAACUGCAGAGAAUGUUCUUAUAUGUGGAAGUGUAUCGUCAUAAUGGAAUUGUUGGCUGCUUCUCCUUACUGUUGGCUGAUUCUCCUUAUUGUCAUAUCGUCAUAAUUGAACACUUGAGCUUGGCUUUUAAUAUAGCUAUAGUUGUGGCUUGCUAAUUAGCUAUUGUUUUGCUCUCCUUAUGCCGUUGUUUAAUCUAUGUAACCUGUGAAGUGGAAUUCAUUCUCUUGAAAUUCGGUAGCUGUGAUGAUUUCACCUGUGAAGUGGAAUUCAUUCUCUUUUUGAAAUUCCUCAAAUGUUCUACAGCUGCCAUGACAAUAAAAUGUCCUGACUGCAUUCACUUCUAAUUUAGAUCCUAUUUGAUGUACAAUCAAACUGGCUGUGAUGAUUAGUCUUUUUGCUUUCACAAAUUAGUUGCUUGCCUUUAAUUUGAUCAUAUAUUAUCUAUCAUAUGAAAUGUUUUCAAUGUUAAAGACAAUCAGCCAAUUGCAAACGAUGGGUCAAUAAGUUCUCCAAUGCAAUAUACUUCAAACUCCCUAAACCCCCAAUAUUCCCAAAAUGCUAAACCCCCAAUAUUCCCAAAAUGCUAAAACCCCAUGCAGGCAGAGGGAAUUUAAGAGACAAUCAGUUCAAUGUUUUCAUAAUGCUCUGAUAUGUGAUCCACAUGCAGGCAGAGGGAAUUUUUGUGAGUCCGUAUGGUCUGAGGAAAGCCCUGGAGAAUGUAACUGUUCCAAACGGCAAUUCAUCGGAGGAUAAAUUAUCACUGGGCCAAGUUAACAAGUUCGAUAUUUUCUCUGUCCAACUCUUCAAAGAAUUUUGUAGUAAAUGGUAAUAUUAUAAGAUUUGUUAUAGACUUGAAUUAAGAAGCUUGAUGUCAAACACAGUAGAUACAAAGAACAGAUCAAGAAAGCAAGGUAUGGUCCUACUCUCGAAGCUAUUAAAUCUAGAGCCAUGCAAUUUCUUAAACAAAAGAGAAUGUAAGUCGAUUGUUCUUUGUUUUCUUAGUUUAUUUGUCGUUGUUGAGUUGUCACAUUGUACACACACUAACAAUACUUUGAGUUUUUACUUUAAAUACGCUCAACUACUUUAUCAUGCAGCUAAUAAUCUUCCUUAGCUCAAUACAUUAUACAUGAAUUGAAUAUUAUAUUGUUGUUUUAAUAUACCAAUACACUAUGCUUUGAUCAGGUAUGAAGGUCAACGCGACAUGUUGUACAAUCAGACAUUUAACCUCGAUCAAGUUUAAUUUGCUGCUGGGGGAAUUAAAGAUGCUCAACAAACUAUAAGGUUUCCACCAAGUCGAAGACAUUUAGGUCUCCGCAACGCAUGGCACACCGCAGAAUUAAGAAACUGUUGUCUUCUAAAUACUGGAAUGUCGCUCCAAAAUUGAAGUUAUGCCAACUGACUAGAUCUGGUGCUGGCUGAAUCAGAUAUUAAACCAUGUUGGAUGACUGCUGAACCGAAAUAUUACGACUGUUGUACCGAAGGAUGCAGGGACUGAACCAAAUCAUACAGCUGCUGUACUUAAAGAUUUUCUGUAGAUUGAUUAAACACUUGAUUUCAAUGUUGAUGUUUCAACCUCUCUUCCCUUGAUGACUUAAAUUUCAGGAAAGAAGAAUUGUUACGAAUUUUGGAUCAAUUGCUAAGAGACAAGGAUGAUAUAAUUAUGGCUACACCUUAUACAGGUUCUAUUUUGGAUCAAUUACUAAAAGACAAGGAUGAUUUUAGUUGUGUUUUCCUUAUCCAUAUUGAAUUAUAUAUCAAUUGCUAUAUCGAUAUUAUCUUUUGGGGCCUAUAUCAAGCUUAAAAGAUGUUGAUUAUAUACAGCUAACACGAAGAAUAUUGAAAGUAUUGCAAGAAUGGUUAGUGGAAAAGUAUCUUGAUUUUGUGGAAUCAAUAUGGCCACAUUAUUUUCGGAUGAUCAGAUUUUUGAUGUCGUCUAAUCUUAUUCGAGUUUGAAUGCAUUCUUAAAGGUACUGUUCAGGAGAGUUAAAGGGAGUUUGAUUGGAGGCGGUAUUCUAUAGCAUAGAAAUUUUCCAUUGAGAUGUAGUCAAUCACAUUUUAUCCUCUGGGGUUUGAGCAAGUUAAUGAUAAUGAGGAAACAAGUUCCUAAUUCAUGUUAUCUUGAAUUGAUUUUAUUCUUAGAUUAGGUUGGAAUUGAUUUUAUCAUUGAAUGGUUGCUUAGUUUUCAAGGUUCUAUAUAAGAUUGACAGUCGACUCAUACAACUGAGUUUUAAAAAAUCAAUUGACACAAUGCAGGCUGCAUUGUAGUGCUUUCAACAAUGGAAACAUUAUCGUAAAAGUCUUUGGUCAGUCGGUGCGGUUAAGAAAGCAGUGAUACAUUGACGUUUAAAGAGAAAAGGCUUUCAUGCAAGAAGAUUACAUGAGGAUGAAGUUGGCACUUGGCACCCAAGCAAGCAAAGGUAAUAUCUAAUUUUAUUCCAUCACUCAUAGAAAUAGGAGGAUUUGCUUUUGCACCGCGUGUGCAUAUGGACAAGGAUUUUCCUUUGUAAUGUGAUAUUGUGAUGCGAUAUUGUGAUUUAUGAUGUAGCGUGACUAUAAUGUGACCAUAAUUGAGGUUGCACAGUUGUUAUUCUAUGCAAUAUCGAGAGCUGCGACCUCUGCUUCCAAUGCAUUCAGGUUCUCACUCUCUUUCUUCUUUCACUUUCAUGUUUUGUUAUUAGAUUUAGUAUGCACAAAUAUGGUUAUUUAAACAAUGGCUUCCCAAGUAUUUCAUAAAUGUGACUUAUAAGAAUUUAAAUUUAAUUGAGAAGUUCUCAUGAAUAGGUAAUUAAUUUAAGUUGGACCUAAUUUGAUGAUGUGUUUUUUGGAGUUUCACUUAGCAUAUUGGUUUUCACCUGGAACAAUGAAGAGAAAAAUGAAGAGGAUACAAGAUCUACAAGGCAGCAUAGUUCCUUCAAGCUAAGUGGGAUCAAUUCCCAUUGAAUCUAACUUAUGUGUUGGUAACCUCUAGGGGUAUCUGGACUAUGUCAACAGAAAAGCAAAACUGAUAACAUCAGAGUAAGACUUCUUAGUAGUGUAAGUUCACAGGCAGGCUAAUGUUAGUCUCAAACUUUAUUUCUUUUUACACGAACACCACUUCUCAAAAACAAGGAACAAGAAAACUGCAGACUGCAUAAAUUCUUGAGAUUGAAUUGUGGCAUCGGAUACGCAACAAUCAUCAUCAGCAUCAUCAACAUCUUUAAAGGGUUUGAUGCAUUGGAGGUGUCUGCAGGGAACCGUUACGAUAACUGGAAGCACGCGUACACCGGCAUUAUUGCAGCAUUGGGGGACAUUGCGGUACUUUUAAAAGCUUACACAUGGAUCAUUGAGAUUGUAGCUGCACAUUAGAAUCUGAUAUUGAAGCUGCACAUGGAGCUCUAUGUAGCAUAAUUUGUACUCAGCCUAGAAGAAUAUCUGCUAUAUAUGUUUCUGAAAGAGUAGCGGCAUCCAUGAGCUAUUUUGUUAGCAUGCUUUUGGUUUAGAUUUUACAUUGUCAGUGGAGUAUACCUGAUAUAUAGUGGUGUGAAAAUUUUGAUCUCUUUUAUUUUCUCAUUAUUUGCUCUGUAAUGACUAUUUAUGCUCUACACGCCUGGAUCUGUUGGUUUUUCUCUAAAUUUGUAUGUAAUCAUUUCCUGCUUACUUUGCUGACAUUGUUUUUCAGUUUACGGUAGAACUUUUUAAUAACCACCAUUAUAGCUGCAGCGUGAAUUUUAACAAUAAUCCCCAACAUUGAAAAGAUGACUAUGAAUGGUGUCUUGAAAAAUAAUUUCUAGACAUUUUCUGAAAUACUACUAAUCUUCUAAAAUGCUUAUUGAGUAGGUUUAGUAUGUGUAAAUACUAAGUGUUAAUUGAAUAUAAUUGAAAUUCCAACAGGACAAUUGAAAUGUUUAGUUAUAUUACA